rnacentral:rRNA from 1 species
UACGGAGGAUGCAAGCGUUAUCCGGAAUGAUUGGGCGUAAAGCGUCCGCAGGUGGCUAUGUAAGUCUGCUGUUAAAGAGUGAGGCUCAACCUCAUAAGAGCAGUGGAAACUACAUGGCUAGAGUGCGUUCGGGGCAGAGGGAAUUCCUGGUGUAGCGGUGAAAUGCGUAGAUAUCAGGAAGAACACCGGCGGCGAAAGCGCUCUGCUAGGCCGCAACUGACACUGAGGGACGAAAGCUAGGGGAGCGAAUGGG